UCUAGAAUAUUACCGGGUUUCCACGAUUACGUAUUAGAGGUACAAGAAAAAGAAAUUGAACAUUAUGUUAUGCGAGCAUAGAAAAAUGUUUUCCGGGUCAUUAUGGCUUUUAUCAGCAGCCCCACUUUUCAAGCUAUGCUGGUACGCAGAAGGUAUACCGGUACUAAGAAGGCAUUGGUAUGGAUAUCUUUUUGAAGAGCUUUAUCAUCAUGUUGCAGCAAGAACUGUCAUGAAGAUGGAUUAACUUAAAGACUGCCACCAAACUCGAAAGAUUUGCCCUCUUCUUGUAGAGGUGUCAAAGACAAUUCAUGCCUAUUCAACACUGUCGUGCCCCCGCGUUGCCUUCUUGUCCAAGCUAUGUUACGGCCUGCAACUUUAUCCCAAUGUUCACGGUAUGAAUUCAUUUUUAGAAAUUAAGAUGUUAUACUGAUUUUUAUCGAAAUUUAUGAGGUAUCAUACGUUGAAAACCAUUAUCUGAUAUGUGGACCACAUGCCCUGAUCGGAAUUUGGGGGACACGUCGGAUUGUUCAUCUGCUGAUAAUUAAGGUCCGCUUAAAGCAGAGGUGGCCAAAUUGAUUGCUGACCAAUACCUCCUAGACCAUUCAACCUAUUGUUGGUGGUGAAUUGGGAGACUAUCAGUUCCUUUUACAUCCAUCACUACCUCUAGGACAAUAUUUCAUUAUGUGUUUCAAAACACAGUGCUCUGUUGAGCAAACCAGUUCAGCAAAAAAAAAAAAGUCCAAUCCUGUGUCUUUUACAAAUGAGAAGUUCUAUGAUGAAAGCCUUUUCUUUGUUUUCAAGUAGUUAUUCUAAGAUUGGUCUUCGCUCUAUCAAUUUCAAGGGAAAAUUGCUGCGUGAAUGCAGUAGGUUAUGAAAUUCGAUAGCUGCUGAAAGCUUUUUCUGUUUGGGCGGUAGUUCGAAAUGCGUGAAUCCCCACAUGUUGGUCGAAUAACUUCCCGUGAAUUUGUUUCAUCUUCCAGUUCAGUGGACUUCAUUUGGAGCUGCUAUAUUAAGUUCAUGGUAGUCCACCUCUCCUAGUUGAAGCUUUUUUGUUAUCUAUGUAGUUAUUUAUUUUCCUGUUUUCCUUUCCGUUCUUAUUUGUUUGAUAUUAGAAGAGCAAUCAUAGGACGGCAAGAUGCCAGGAAUCAUAAACCAAAAACCGUAUUGUACCAUAUUGAAUUGCCCGUUCGUUAUAGUAGAAUGUAUUCGUUCCGCCUGCAUUAGUAAUUGCACCUUAAAAGAAAAUAUGUAGA